rnacentral:rRNA from 1 species
AAUCAACGCUGGCGGCGCGCUUAACACAUGCAAGUCGAACGAGAAAGCCGGGGCAACCUGGUGAGUAAAGUGGCGACCGGGUGAGUAACACGUGGAUGAUCUACCCUUUGGUGGGGAAUAACCCUGGGAAACCGGGGCUAAUACCGCAUAAGUCCGAGAGGAGAAAGCCGAAAGGCGUCAAAGGAAGAGUCCGCGGCCGAUUAGCUAGUUGGCGGGGUAAUAGCCCACCAAGGCAACGAUCGGUAGCCGGCCUGAGAGGGCACACGGCCACACUGGCACUGAAACACGGGCCAGACUCCUACGGGAGGCAGCAGUGGGGAAUCUUGCACAAUGGGGGUAACCCUGAUGCAGCGACGCCGCGUGAGCGAUGAAGCCCUUCGGGGUGUAAAGCUCUUUCGGCAGGGACGAUAAUGACGGUACCUGCAGAAGAAGCUGCGGCUAACUACGUGCCAGCCGCCGCGGUAAGAC